rnacentral:tRNA from 1 species
UGGAAUGUAGCUCAGUAGUAGAGUGCUUGCCUGGCAUACAAGAAGCCCUGGGUUUAAUCCCCAGUGGGCCGC